GUGAAGGAGAGAGACACGCGUGAGCCGGGGGUGCUGGCGCCCCCAUCAUGCCCGCACCCACCCUGAUUCCCACCCCAGGGCACUCCCACCAGAACACUUCAUCCCAGCAUAAAAGACAAUCCCUCAGAGCUCAGUGAGGCCAGGGAACAGGUGGAGUUCUCCCAUCCUGAAGUGACACAGAGGAUAAAGGACUUGCCCAAGGCCACAGACACACGGGGACAGAGCCCUCCACUUCCAAUUUCAGUUCAAAGCCUGGAAAGCUGUCUUCUGCCGGGAGCCAAGGAAAAUGAUGACAAUUCUGCCCUGAGGCGUGAACAAGGCUGUACCAAGAUGUCUUGGCUGUGAGCGUGGAGCACACCAAGGUAGGACCAGCGAUACCACAGAAAAGCCAGCAGACGACUGCAGGCACUAAAAGGAGC